rnacentral:lncRNA from 1 species
CCCGCCGCCGCCGCCGGCGUCGUGCGCCGCCAUGCUGCUGACGACGCUGGAGCUGUCCUCCUCGACGAUGGUGUCCAGCAGCUUGGCCGGCCGCGGCGGCUGGAACCUGCCGCCGCCGCCGUAGACGGGAUGCCGCCACGGCGCGACGGCGGAGAAGGCGCCUGCUUCCUCGCGCUUGCGCGAGCGCGAGCGCGACGAGGUCCGGACGACCUGGAGCAAGAACGACGCCCUCUGGACGCUCGCCAUCCUGCUUGACUGAUGACUGACUCCGAUCGUCGUAGCGAGUGAACUCUACAGGCUACAGCUAUGGGACACAAACCAAUGCAUGCUAGUAAGUAGAUUAGCUUGCUGGCUGCCAU